rnacentral:misc_RNA from 1 species
AAGACUAUAGACCUGCGGAGUACCUGCGGAAGGAUCAUUACAGAGUUGCAAAACUCCCUAAACCAUUGUGAACGUUACCUAAACCGUUGCUUCGGCGGGCGGCGCGCCCUCGCGCGCGCCCCUGGGCCCCACCGCGGGCGCCCGCCGGAGGUCACCAAACUCUUGAUAUUAAUUGGCCUCUCUGAGUCUUCUGUACUGAAUGAGUCAAAACUUUUAACAACGGAUCUCUAGAUCGGAAGA